GGGGGGAGCAAGCGUUGUUCGGAUUUACUGGGCGUAAAGGGCGCGUAGGCGGCGCAACAAGUCACUUGUGAAAUCUCCGGGCUUAACCCGGAGCGGCCAAGUGAUACUGUCGUGCUAGAGUGCGGAAGGGGCUACUGGAAUUCUCGGUGUAGCGGUGAAAUGCGUAGAUAUCGAGAGGAACACCUGCGGCGAAGGCGGGUAGCUGGGCCGACACUGACGCUGAAGCGCGAAAGCCAGGGGAGCGAACGGGAUUAGAUACCUCGGUAGUCCUGGCCUUAAACGAUGGAUACUUGGUGUCCGGGGUUACAUAGUCCCCGGGUGCCGGCGCUAACGCAUUAAGUAUCCCGCCUGGGGAGUACGGUCGCAAGACUG
rnacentral:rRNA from 1 species